rnacentral:rRNA from 1 species
UUGAAAUAGCUUUCCCUCCAGAGUGGAUCCUGAGUACGGCGGAACACGUGAAAUUCCGUCGGAAUCCGGGAGGACCAUCUCCCAAGGCUAAAUACUCCCUAGUGACCGAUAGUGAACCAGUACCGUGAGGGAAAGGUGAAAAGCACCCCGGAAGGGGAGUGAAACAGUUCCUGAAACCGUGUGCCUACAAGUAGUUAGAGCCCGUUAAUGGGUGAUAGCGUGCCUUUUGUAGAAUGAACCGGCGAGUUACGAUUUGUUGCAAGGUUAAGCGGAAAAAGCGGAGCCGUAGCGAAAGCGAGUCUGAAUAGGGCGCAUAAGUAACAGGUCGUAGACCCGAAACCAGGUGAUCUACCCAUGUCCAGGAUGAAGGUAAGGUAAUACUUACUGGAGGUCCGAACCCACGCACGUUGAAAAGUGCGGGGAUGAGGUGUGGGUAGCGGAGAAAUUCCAAUCGAACUUGGAGAUAGCUGGUUCUCUCCGAAAUAGCUUUAGGGCUAGCCUCGAGGUAAAGAGUCAUGGAGGUAGAGCACUGUUUGGACUAGGGGCCCUUCUCGGGUUACCGAAUUCAGAUAAACUCCGAAUGCCAUGUACUUAUACUCGGGAGUCAGACUGCGAGUGAUAAGAUCCGUAGUCGAAAGGGAAACAGCCCAGACCACCAGUUAAGGUCCCCAAAUAUAUGUUAAGUGGAAAAGGAUGUGGGGUUGCUUAGACAACCAGGAUGUUGGCUUAGAAGCAGCCACCAUUGAAAGAGUGCGUAAUAGCUCACUGGUCGAGUGACCCCGCGCCGAAAAUGUACCGGGGCUAAACAUAUUACCGAAACUGUGGAUGAACCUCUUUAGAGGUUCGUGGUAGGAGAGCGUUCUAAGGGCGGUGAAGUCAGACCGGAAGGACUGGUGGAGCGCUUAGAAGUGAGAAUGCCGGUAUGAGUAGCGAAAGAAGGGUGAGAAUCCCUUCCACCGAAUAUCUAAGGUUUCCUGAGGAAGGCUCGUCCGCUCAGGGUUAGUCGGGACCUAAGCCGAGGCCGAUAGGCGUAGGCGAUGGACAACAGGUAGAGAUUCCUGUACCAGUGCUAAUUGUUUAACCGAUGGGGUGACACAGAAGGAUAGGGAAUCGCACGAAUGGAAAUGUGCGUCCAAGCAGUGAGUGUGAGAAGUAGGCAAAUCCGCUUCUCGCGAAGCAUGAGCUGUGAUGGGGAAGGAAAUUAAGUACGGAAGUUCCUGAUUUCACGCUGUCAAGAAAAGCCUCUAGGAAGAGUAGUACUGCCCGUACCGCAAACCGACACAGGUAGAUGAGGAGAGAAUCCUAAGGUGAGCGAGAGAACUCUCGUUAAGGAACUCGGCAAAAUGACCCCGUAACUUCGGGAGAAGGGGUGCUCUAUUAGGGUGCAAGCCCGAGAGAGCCGCAGUGAAUAGGCCCAGGCGACUGUUUAGCAAAAACACAGGUCUCUGCAAAACCGUAAGGUGACGUAUAGGGGCUGACGCCUGCCCGGUGCUGGAAGGUUAAGAGGAGUGCUUAGCUUCGGCGAAGGUACGAAUUGAAGCCCCAGUAAACGGCGGCCGUAACUAUAACGGUCCUAAGGUAGCGAAAUUCCUUGUCGGGUAAGUUCCGACCCGCACGAAAGGCGCAACGAUCUGGGCACUGUCUCAACGAGAGACUCGGUGAAAUUAUAGUACCUGUGAAGAUGCAGGUUACCCGCGACAGGACGGAAAGACCCCGUGGAGCUUUACUGCAACCUGAUAUGGAAUGUUUGUACCGCUUGUACAGGAUAGGUAGGAGCCGAAGAGACGUGUGCGCUAGCAUACGAGGAGGCAAUGGUGGGAUACUACCCUGGCUGUAUGACCAUUCUAACCCGCCACGCUUAGCGCGUGGGGAGACAGUGUCAGGUGGGCAGUUUGACUGGGGCGGUCGCCUCCUAAAGAGUAACGGAGGCGCCCAAAGGUUCCCUCAGAAUGGAUGGAAAUCAUUCGCAGAGUGUAAAGGCACAAGGGAGCUUGACUGCGAGACUGACAAGUCGAGCAGGGACGAAAGUCGGGCUUAGUGAUCCGGUGGUUCCGCAUGGAAGGGCCAUCGCUCAACGGAUAAAAGCUACCCCGGGGAUAACAGGCUUAUCUCCCCCAAGAGUCCACAUCGACGGGGAGGUUUGGCACCUCGAUGUCGGCUCGUCGCAUCCUGGGGCUGUAGUCGGUCCCAAGGGUUGGGCUGUUCGCCCAUUAAAGCGGCACGCGAGCUGGGUUCAGAACGUCGUGAGACAGUUCGGUCCCUAUCCGUCGCGGGCGCAGGAAAUUUGAGAGGAGCUGUCCUUAGUACGAGAGGACCGGGAUGGACACACCGCUGGUGUACCAGUUGUUCCGCCAGGAGCAUCGCUGGGUAGCUAUGUGUGGCAGGGAUAAACGCUGAAAGCAUCUAAGCGUGAAGCCCCCCUCAAGAUGAGAUUUCCCAUUUCUUCGGAAAGUAAGAUCCCUGAAAGAUGAUCAGGUAGAUAGGUUUGGAGUGGAAGUGUAGCGAUACAUGGAGCGGACAAAUACUAAUCGAUCGAGGACUUAACCAAAA